AGUGCAUGCUAGCAUGAUUCCGCCUUUAAUUGUUAAUUGCAUGCUUAUAGAUGUUGCUUAAAUGAACAUGUUUUUACAAAAUAAUCCUUCAGCGAAUACCUCAGUGUUCUCUUGCAAAAAAGAGAUUAAUGUCAACCAAAUGGGUGGUGACAAGGUGGUACCAAUCUUUACCAUGUGAUAUGGAUAAUCUUUUGAGAUAGAGACCUUCUCCAACUCUUCAGCGGGUUAUGCUUACU
rnacentral:lncRNA from 1 species